CCUACGGGAGGCAGCAGUGAGGAAUAUUGGUCAAUGGACGAGAGUCUGAACCAGCCAAGUAGCGUGAAGGAUGACUGCCCUAUGGGUUGUAAACUUCUUUUAUAUGGGAAUAAAAUGUUCCACGUGUGGGAUUUUGUAUGUACCAUAUGAAUAAGGAUCGGCUAACUCCGUGCCAGCAGCCGCGGUAAUACGGAGGAUACGAGCGUUAUCCGGAUUUAUUGGGUUUAAAGGGAGCGUAGGUGGAUUGUUAAGUCAGUUGUGAAAGUUUGCGGCUCAACCGUAAAAUUGCAGUUGAGACUGGCAGUCUUGAGUACAGUAGAGGUGUGCGGAAUUCGUGGUGUAGCGGUGAAAUGCUUAGAUAUCACGAAGAACUCCGAUUGCGAAGGCAGUUCACUAGACUGCAACUGACACUGAGGCUCGAAAGUGUGGGUAUCAAACAGGAUUAGAUACCCCAGUAGUC
rnacentral:rRNA from 1 species